AGAUUUCAAAGCAGGUUCCUGAUAUUGCUCUAUCAAUUGAAAGAGAAGGUCAUACUCAUAAUUUCUCAUGCACUGAGGCUGGCUCGGUGUGGGUUGCGCGACAUGUAGCAAGCUUGAUAAAGAAGCAAAUACCAUGUCCAGGGCAAUAAGAUCUUCUCACUCCGUGUUUUUGAAUGAAGGGAACUGAUUCUCUCAGUAUUGGGAUAUGUGUCCUCAUCUAGAUGCAACAAAUCAAUGUAGAGUUGCACAGUGCACUUUACUUUCUAGAGUUUAACUUCGAUCAGCAUCAAGUUAUUCCAGGUUAGUCUUCGGGAAAUUUGUGUGUGAAUACUUUGUAACUGUGAUGAAAUCAACAAAUAGAGCCUUUCAUGAACGACUGUUGUUGAUCAGCUAGCUUGAUGUGUCCAUGUUAACUACAGUUAAAGUCUUGUACAAUGACUCAACUUUCAG
rnacentral:misc_RNA from 1 species